UACAGAGGCCCCAAGCGUUACUGAGAAUCACUGGGUUUAAAGGGUGCGUAGGUGGUCCGUUAAGUCCGUUGUGAAAGCCCUGGGCUCAACCCAGGAACUGCUUCGGAUACUGGCGGACUUGAGGCUAGUAGAGGUCACUGGAACUGACGGUGGAGCGGUGAAAUGCGUAGAUAUCGAGAGGAACACCUGCGGCGAAGGCGGGUAGCUGGGCCGACACUGACGCUGAGGCGCGAAAGCCAGGGGAGCGAACGGG
rnacentral:rRNA from 1 species